UCGAACGAGACUUUUUAUUUGAUGCUUGCAUCUUUUAAAAAGUUGAGUGGCGAACGGGUGAGUAACACGUGGGUAACCUGCCUUAAAGUGGGGGAUAACACUUGGAAACAGGUGCUAAUACCGCAUAACCAUCAAAACCACCUGGUUUUGAUGUUAAAGAUGGUUCUGCUAUCGCUUUAAGAUGGACCCGCGGCGUAUUAGCUAGUUGGUGAGGUAACGGCUUACCAAGGCAAUGAUACGUAGCCGAACUGAGAGGUUGAUCGGCCACAUUGGGACUGAGACACGGCCCAAACUCCUACGGGAGGCAGCAGUAGGGAAUCUUCCACAAUGGACGAAAGUCUGAUGGAGCAACGCCGCGUGAGUGAAGAAGGUUUUCGGAUCGUAAAACUCUGUUGUCAGAGAAGAACGUGUGUGAGAGUAACUGUUCACGCAGUGACGGUAUCUGACCAGAAAGUCACGGCUAACUACGUGCCAGCAGCCGCGGUAAUACGUAGGUGGCAAGCGUUGUCCGGAUUUAUUGGGCGUAAAGGGAACGCAGGCGGUCUUUUAAGUCUGAUGCGAAAGCCUUCGGCUUAACCGAAGUCGGGCAUUGGAAACUGGGAGACUUGAGUGCAGAAGAGGAGAGUGGAACUCCAUGUGUAGCGGUGAAAUGCGUAGAUAUAUGGAAGAACACCAGUGGCGAAAGCGGCUCUCUGGUCUGUAACUGACGCUG
rnacentral:rRNA from 1 species